UAAGAGUUUGGAUCAUGGCUCAGGAUGAACGCUGGCGGCGUGCUUAACACAUGCAAGUCGAACGGAAAGGCCACAGCUUGCUGUGGUACUCGAGUGGCGAACGGGUGAGUAACACGUGGGUGAUCUGCCCUGUACUUCGGGAUAAGCUUGGGAAACUGGGUCUAAUACCGGAUAGGAAUCACAUGUGGGUGUGUGGUUGGAAAGCUUUUGCGGUAUGGGAUGAGCUCGCGGCCUAUCAGCUUGUUGGUGGGGUAAUGGCCUACCAAGGCGUCGACGGGUAGCCGGCCUGAGAGGGUGUACGGCCACAUUGGGACUGAGAUACGGCCCAGACUCCUACGGGAGGCAGCAGUGGGGAAUAUUGCACAAUGGGCGCAAGCCUGAUGCAGCGACGCCGCGUGGGGGAUGACGGCCUUCGGGUUGUAAACUCCUUUCGUCAGGGACGAAGCGAAAGUGACGGUACCUGGAUAAGAAGCACCGGCUAACUACGUGCCAGCAGCCGCGGUAAUACGUAGGGUGCGAGCGUUGUCCGGAAUUACUGGGCGUAAAGAGCUCGUAGGUGGUUUGUCGCGUCGUUUGUGUAAGUCCACGGCUUAACUGUGGGAUGGCAGGCGAUACGGGCAUAACUUGAGUGCUGUAGGGGAGACUGGAAUUCCUGGUGUAGCGGUGAAAUGCGCAGAUAUCAGGAGGAACACCGAUGGCGAAGGCAGGUCUCUGGGCAGUAACUGACGCUGAGGAGCGAAAGC
rnacentral:rRNA from 1 species